UACGUAGGGGGGCAAGCGUUGUCCGGAAUUAUUGGGCGUAAAGAGCGCGUAGGCGGUCCGAUAAGUCGGCUGUGAAAGUCAGGGGCUCAACCCUUGAAAGCCGGCCGAUACUGUCGGACUAGAGUCCGGAAGAGGCAAGUGGAAUUCCCGGUGUAGCGGUGAAAUGCGCAGAUAUCAGGAGGAACACCAAUUGCGAAGGCAGCUCGCUGGGACGUUACUGACGCUGAGACGCGAAAGCGUGGGGAGCAAACAGG
rnacentral:rRNA from 1 species